GCGCCCGUAGUUCAGCGGAUAGAACGGGAGCCUUCUAAGCUCUAGACGAGGGUUCGACUCCCCCCGGGCGUA
rnacentral:tRNA from 1 species